rnacentral:rRNA from 1 species
AGAGUUUGAUCCUGGCUCAGAGCGAACGCUGGCGGCAGGCCUAACACAUGCAAGUCGAGCGCCCGUAGCAAUACGGGAGCGGCAGACGGGAGAGUAACACGUGGGAACGCGCCCUUCGGUUCGGAAUAACUCAGGGAAACUUGAGCUAAUACCGGAUACGCCCUUACGGGGAAAGAUUUAUUGCCGAAGGAACGGCCCGCGUCCGAUUAGCUAGUUGGUGAGGUAACGGCUCACCAAGGCGACGAUCCGUAGCUGGUCUAAGAGGAUGAUCAGCCUCACUGGGACUGAGACACGGCCCAGACUCCUACGGGAGGCAGCAGUGAGGAAUUUUCCGCAAUGGGCGAAAGCCUGACGGAGCGACGCCGCGUGUGGGAAGAAGGCCUUCGGGUCGUAAACCACUGUCGAAGGGGACGAUAAUGACGGUACCCUUGGAGGAAGCCCCGGCUAACUACGUGCCAGCAGCCGCGGUAAUAACCUAAAUAGC